rnacentral:rRNA from 1 species
CUCCUGGAGCGGCCGAUAUCUGAUUAGCUAGUUGGUGAGGUAAAGGCUCACCAAGGCGACGAUCAGUAGCUGGUCUGAGAGGACGACCAGCCACACUGGAACUGAGACACGGUCCAGACUCCUACGGGAGGCAGCAGUGGGGAAUUUUGGACAAUGGGCGCAAGCCUGAUCCAGCAAUGCCGCGUGAGUGAAGAAGGCCUUCGGGUUGUAAAGCUCUUUUGUCAGGGAAGAAACGGUAGAGGCUAAUAUCCUUUGCUAAUGACGGUACCUGAAGAAUAAGCACCGGCUAACUACGUGCCAGCAGCCGCGGUAAUACGUAGGGUGCAAGCGUUAAUCGGAAUUACUGGGCGUAAAGCGUGCGCAGGCGGUUUUGUAAGUCUGUCGUGAAAGCCCCGGGCUCAACCUGGGAAUUGCGAUGGAGACUGCAAGGCUUGAAUCUGGCAGAGGGGGGUAGAAUUCCACGUGUAGCAGUGAAAUGCGUAGAGAUGUGGAGGAACACCGAUGGCGAAGGCAGCCCCCUGGGUCAAGAUUGACGCUCAUGCACGAAAGCGUGGGGAGCAAACAGGAUUAGAUACCCUGGUAGUCCACGCCCUAAACGAUGUCUACUAGUUGUCGGGUUUUAAUUAACUUGGUAACGCAGCUA